UGGGGAAUAUUGCACAAUGGGCGCAAGCCUGAUGCAGCCAUGCCGCGUGUAUGAAGAAGGCCUUCGGGUUGUAAAGUACUUUCAGCGAGGAGGAAGGCGUUAAGGUUAAUAACCUUAGCGAUUGACGUUACUCGCAGAAGAAGCACCGGCUAAACUCCGUGCCAGCAGCCGCGGUAAUACGGAGGGUGCAAGCGUUAAAUCGGAAUUAACUGGGCGUAAAGCGCACGCAGGCGGUCUGUCAAGUCGGAUGUGAAAAUCCCCGGGCUCAACCUGGGAAACUGCAUUCGAAAACUGACAGGCUAGAGUCUUGUAGAGGGGGGUAGAAUUCCAGGUGUAGCGGUGAAAAUGCGUAGAGAUCUGGAGGAAUACCGGUGGCGAAGGCGGCCCCCUGGACAAAAGACUGACGCUCAGGUGCGAAAGCGUGGGGGAGCAAAACA
rnacentral:rRNA from 1 species